rnacentral:rRNA from 1 species
GACAAACGCUGGCGGCAUGCCUAACACAUGCAAGUCGAACGGACAGAGCAGGGAAGCUUUUUGGAGUGGAACUGGAAAGUUAGAGGCGGAAGGGAGAGUAACGCGUGGACAACCUACCUUGUAAAGGGGAAUAACCUCGAGAAAUCGAAGCUAAUACCACAUAAUAACCUAGGUUGGCAUGAAGCAAGGAGGGAACGCGGCCAUAGCCCUGUCGAUACAUGAUGGGUUCGCGUCUGAUUAGCUAGUUGGUGCGGUAAAGGCUCACCAAGGCGACGAUCAGUAGCCGGCCUGAGAGGGUGAACCGCCACAUUGGGACUGAGACACGGCCCAGACUCCUACGGGAGGCAGCAGUGGGGAAUCUUCCACAAUGGGCGAAAGCCUGACGGAGCAAUACCGCGUGAGUGAAGAAGGCCUUCGGGUUGUAAAGCUCUGUCCUUAUCGAAGAAAGAGUGUUGUAGUAACUGACAAUACUAUGACGGUAGAUAAGGAGGAAGCCCCGGCUAACUAUGUG